UACGGAGGGUGCAAGCGUUGCUCGGAAUUAUUGGGCGUAAAGGGUAGGUAGGUGGUCUCAUUUGUCUGGGGUGAAAGCCUUGAGCUUAACUCAAGAAGUGCCCCAGAAACGGUGAGACUAGAGUCCUGGAGAGGGUCGUGGAAUUCCCGGUGUAGCGGUGAAAUGCGUAGAGAUCCGGAGGAACACCGACGGCGUAGGCAGCGCCCUGGACGACACCUGACGCUGAGGCACGAAAGCUGGGGGAGCGAACAGG
rnacentral:rRNA from 1 species